CCUUACCAUAUCUAUAUAUAUAAAGGAGAGGUGUCCGGGAACAAUUUCAUUGUAUUCAAGCUUCAGCCCGUGCGAAACGCAUACGGCAGCAGGAAGACGACGUAGCCAUACAAGGAACAGAACAGCGAGAGCACGCAGAGAUGAAGGUCUGGAAACAUCCGCUGGAUUUGCGAAUGUCAAUAAGGCAACCUGUGAAGAAACGAAGUCAGUUUGCAGCAAACCACAACGCAAAAGGU